rnacentral:rRNA from 1 species
UACGGAGGGUGCAAGCGUUGUCCGGAAUCACUGGGCGUAAAGGGCGCGUAGGCGGCUCAUGAAGGCUGUGGUGAAAUCCCCGGGCUUAACCUGGGAACUGCGCUUGUAACUAGCGGGCUAGAGUGCGGCAGAGGGGGGUGGAAUUCCACGUGUAGCAGUGAAAUGCGUAGAUAUGUGGAGGAACACCGAUGGCGAAGGCAGCCCCCUGGGUCGACACUGACGCUCAUGCACAAAAGCGUGGGGAGCAAACAGG